CCGAGCGCUGCGAGAGCCGCUGCCGCCGCUGGAGGACGCGCCGCUGCCACUGCCGCCGCCGCCACUGCCGGGCAGGGCCGGCUCGGGCCGGGAGGAGCGCUGCGAGGUCGCCGAGAUCGGCUCCGCUCCGGCUCCGGCUGCGCGCCGACCGGGGCUAGGGUCACUGAGCUGCGCCGGCGCUGCUCGUUCGCUCGGCCGCCCGGUCGCUGCUCGCCCUCUCGCCGCCCGGUCGCUCGCUCUCCCGGGCGCCCGCCGCCGCUCGCUUUUUUAAUGUCCACAGACAGUGAAAAGGAACUCGGCGUUAGGGGGCACACCCUCGGCUCAAAUUUGCUUUGAAGGUCAGUAAUUUUUACUUCUUUUCAAAACAACUGCACAUUUCUUCUGGCACCCAAAUGCUGAUUCUCUGCACUGAAGAAUGUCUCCCUCAACAACAGACACACCCUGGAGGGAUGUAUCUUCUCCCCACCCCCACCCUAAAUCCCGAACUGGCUGCAGAGACCACCCAAUGCAGCCUCAUUGCCUGGAGCAUCCUAGAGUCACCAAGGGCCACCUUGCCAUCUUAGGAAUGGGAACCAACAUCAACCAAGGCCACGAUGGAUGCAUCUUUUCAAGCUCUGCGUGCAGUGCCCCUGGGUCCCACCUGCUCACUGCUCUCCCAGCCUUGCCCUCCUCUGGCUCCCUCACCCCACAGAGAGCCAGUAUGCUGAGAAGAAAGCCCCUCCUGCACCAGGUCACUCUGCUGUUUUUGAGCUCUCUGCCAGGAGUCCUGUGGUAAAGGCCUGGACCGGUCCUGGGCUGGAAGACAGGGCACCUGGCACACCACUGACUGACCUGCCAUGUGACUCCAGGCCAGCUAUUAACUCCUCUACCAGGGGCAAUCUCAACACUAACCACAGGUGGUCGGGACCCACCAGAAGUUAUCGGCAUGAACAAGUUUUGGAAAGUAAAGUGCUAUAAAAAUUACAUAACUCUGUGGCCCAGAUAUUCUGUCAAGUGUUAAUUCUCUCUCACAGUUUGAAUUCUACUGAUCACUUUCU
rnacentral:lncRNA from 1 species